CCCUUUGGUUUUCUGUAACGCACACACACACACUCCUGCUGCUCCGUCACACGCCCACUCACGCACGCCCCCCUAAUUCUCCAGGUCUUUUUUCCUUCGCGACAGAGCUGGGUGAUGAUGUGAAAUACCUUUUCCCAUAGUUAAUGAUCUUACAGUUGUCUGCGCCAGACCCUAGCGUGAGAGAAAAGAUCGCUUCCCCUUUAGUUAAAUGGAUAUAGGGUCCUGUUAGCCCUGACCAUUAUCCGUUUCCAAUUCCUCAUCGCAAAGUCUUUUGCCCGCUCCAUCGAAGCUCUGGCCGUUUUCACUCCAGGGAAAGAUCCGCCUUCGGCCUUGUGGGUCCUGGGUAUGUCUCAACGAUAACCUCGGCCAUCGCUGUAAUUGUUCACGAUUUUCGAAAAGACUGUCCAGCUUAUUCAUCAGUGUUCGGAAAAUAUGGUAAUCGCACCAUUUAAAACUGAACAUUAUUUGAAAAAAAUGUACAUCCUUGCAUGCUUUGGAAGAUACAUAUGAACUGACCGUUUUCGACGCAUUUGCACUAUCAAAUUGUUCACAUGCUAAAAUUGUCACUCUGGAGUCCGGGGUAUACGCCAUUGAAGCGACUCUUAGGGCCAUCAGAUCACUUCGUCCACAGACCUGUUCUUCCAACGCAUAUCCGGGCAGCCUUGAAGCACUCAGGGCGCGUUCCAUUUGACACAGCGUGAGUCUUAUUUUAAGCCAUUCUCUCAUCCUUAGCGCUGGAGAAAAACUCUCGGGUUCUGCCCGAUAAAAGGGUUGGGACACGCUGUCUGUGAAUAUCUUAACCGUAGAUUCCUCAGGGUGGAAUAUGUAAGACAUAUGUCCCUCACUUGUACACAAAAAUCCUUUAAAACAUUAUGGAGCCUCACGCAAAACAUCCUCCAGACUUUUGUCAUUGGAUUCAUGACAUGAGCUGCAAAGCAACCCUAGAAUUGGCCUUGGAGACAUAUUUUAGAUGUUUAAUAUUCAGGUCUUUAUUUUAAAAAUCACUUGUUCUGGACAUUUAUAAUGCAUAUGCCACAGCCCAAUACCCCAGGACAUUCCUGCUUCAUCAGAUAACAAACAUAAGGGCGAUAAAACUGGGGGUGGGGGACAUACGCCUCUGUUUUUAAGACAGUACUUACUCGUGUUAAUCAGGGAACGGUUUCUCAAAACCAUCUUAUGGCUAAAUUCACCGUUAGAACCAUCGGACACCUUAAGAUGCGUUUGGGAAACCGGGCCCAGAUAUCCAGUUAUCUCCCCCUCUUCCUCUUUCAAUACAUAAACUCCAUCCUCCUCCCCUUUUACUGUAACAUCCUCCUUCUCUUUCACUCUGAACGCGUCUUUUUCUUCUUUCACAGUAAUGGCCUCACCGUCUACUUCUUUUACUGUGAUACCCACCUCUUCUUUGGUAGGUGGAGUGUAGCUUAGUGACUGCAUGGUCGGGGAUAUUAGCUAGCUAGGCUAAUGUUAACUUAACCAGCCCGCUAGUGGAAUAAUAACAACACCGUAAAUAUGAAAUUAAACCGGAUAACUAACUAGACGACAAGAAGUGGGUUUAAAACAGUGUCUAAUUGUUGGAUCCUGUAUUUUACAUUAUAGCCAUUACCAUAUAUAUGAUUGAACAUUAUCUGCUGUUGGCUUGUGUGGAUGUAUGUAUGUGUUAUGCAACAUAGCUGACUUGAAACAUUGUUAAAAGUAUCAGGGCCAUGGGACUUUAUCAUGAUGGAAAAAUACAGAGAAGCAUGAAGACAGGAACUGUUCAAAUUAGUUGGGAGGGGGGCACAUUCAGAGCGGGGUGUUGCGAGAACAAGCAGUCUUUUGUUAGAUAACAGGAGCCAGGUGCGAGAUAACGGUAUGGAGCAUGAGAGCCUGGAUGUUCUUCACAAGCAACAUUUACAUGUAUCAACAGAAGCGCCAAGAGGCGGGGACCCGCCUGAGCGCCUGCAAUUGGCUGAGCAAGUUUAAACCACGCCCAUUCUCUACUGUGAUAGGCCAACAGACGGGUUGGAACUGUCUAUCACAGUAUAAAGAAUACUGUUUUACAUACGUCGUCAGUUCCCUGUUCUGCCCUGCGUGGUAUUACAGUGAGCCCGUAUAUACGAAGUUGCAUUUGCCAUUUAUUACUUAGCUAAUAGAAAAUAUAUAGUAUAAAAUCGGUGACUCAUUGUUAUAUUUAUCCUGAUACCAGAUUUGAAUUUACGCAAUUCUAACACUAAUACACACGAACGCGUCUAAAGAGCAUUAUUGGUUCGCCUAUUUUGUCUAGCAAGCUACGGAAGUGUCUGACUAACUGUUGCUGCUGAUGAAAGAAGCGUUCCGUCCACUAGAUUAUACGUCACACAAGCAGCAUUGCUCAGUCAAUAUAUUUUUUCUGUGGUUUCAUUUUUCGUCAACCGUUCCAUCGCAUCUUAGUUAAUGUAGAGAACCAACGAUUAUGCAUUUUUUUAAAUCAUAGAGUUCAUUCACAAAUGACAAAUACCGGAGCAUGUGAGUUCAAAUGGACUUUUUAUUACUUCAUAAUAAAAGCCGAGCCGGACAACUGCCUUCCAGCACACACGUUUUAUACAUUUGUCAUUCUUACGUCACACUCACAGUAACUCCUCUUAUUGGCUCAUCACCUCUGGCAUUUAGCCACCGUCAUCAUAUUGCCUUCAUAUUAGGACAUGGAACCUGUAGAGUCUCACAUAAAUAGUUUCAUGCAUGUUGGACCAUAGCAACAGACCAUGGCACUCAACGGAAUAACCACGUCUAAUGGUGUCCAAUGACCUAGAGCACAGAGAGCACUAGUUUUGCUGGCUCCUUCUGAAAUAAAUAAUUGCUACAUAUGUUCAGAAAAAGUCCCAAUACUAUGUCAUUGCUUAUUGUGCAGUGGAUGAUUAAAAUCCCUGUAUGCCCAUGGAUGUGUAGCUAGCUAUCUAGCCGAUCUGUGUAUGGACCCAAACGUUUGGUAUACAUAUUAGUUCAGAACCGAGCUAUGAACCUCAGCUAUCAUAGCCAGUUGUAUCAACUUCAAAACAGCCUGAAUGACAUUUAUGAAGCCUAUGGAUUGAGUAGAAUAUAAUAUCAUGUUGUGCCAAGGACGCAAGUCGUAUAUACAUGUAGUUAUUACCAUGCAUGAGUCCCACAUUGUAACCUGUACAUUUAAUAUAUUCACUAAUAAUGUACUCUACCUUGGCAAAUAAAUGUGCAUAGGAGCAGGGAAGGUA